GUGCCUAAUACAUGCAAGUCGAGCGAAUCGAUGGGAGCUUGCUCCCUGAGAUUAGCGGCGGACGGGUGAGUAACACGUGGGCAACCUGCCUAUAAGACUGGGAUAACUUCGGGAAACCGGAGCUAAUACCGGAUACGUUCUUUUCUCGCAUGAGAGAAGAUGGAAAGACGGUUUCGGCUGUCACUUAUAGAUGGGCCCGCGGCGCAUUAGCUAGUUGGUGAGGUAAUGGCUCACCAAGGCGACGAUGCGUAGCCGACCUGAGAGGGUGAUCGGCCACACUGGGACUGAGACACGGCCCAGACUCCUACGGGAGGCAGCAGUAGGGAAUCUUCCGCAAUGGACGAAAGUCUGACGGAGCAACGCCGCGUGAACGAAGAAGGCCUUCGGGUCGUAAAGUUCUGUUGUUAGGGAAGA
rnacentral:rRNA from 2 species